CUACGGGUGGCUGCAGUGGGGAAUAUUGCACAAUGGGCGCAAGCCUGAUGCAGCCAUGCCGCGUGUAUGAAGAAGGCCUUCGGGUUGUAAAGUACUUUCAGCGGGGAGGAAGGGAGUAAAGUUAAUACCUUUGCUCAUUGACGUUACCCGCAGAAGAAGCACCGGCUAACUCCGUGCCAGCAGCCGCGGUAAUACGGAGGGUGCAAGCGUUAAUCGGAAUUACUGGGCGUAAAGCGCACGCAGGCGGUUUGUUAAGUCAGAUGUGAAAUCCCCGGGCUCAACCUGGGAACUGCAUCUGAUACUGGCAAGCUUGAGUCUCGUAGAGGGGGGUAGAAUUCCAGGUGUAGCGGUGAAAUGCGUAGAGAUCUGGAGGAAUACCGGUGGCGAAGGCGGCCCCCUGGACGAAGACUGACGCUCAGGUGCGAAAGCGUGGGGAGCAAACAGGAUUAGAUACCCCAGUAGUC
rnacentral:rRNA from 1 species